rnacentral:rRNA from 1 species
CCUACGGGGGGCAGCAGUCGAGAAUCAUUCACAAUGGGGGAAACCCUGAUGGUGCGACGCCGCGUGGGGGAAUGAAGGUCUUCGGAUUGUAAACCCCUGUCAUGUGGGAGCAAAUUAAAAAGAUAGUACCACAAGAGGAAGAGACGGCUAACUCUGUGCCAGCAGCCGCGGUAAUACAGAGGUCUCAAGCGUUGUUCGGAUUCACUGGGCGUAAAGCGUGCGUAGGCUGUUUCGUAAGUCGUGUGUGAAAGGCGCGGGCUCAACCGGAGGACGGCACAUGAUACUGGGAGACUAGAGUAAAGGAGAGGGAAGCGGAAUUCUCGGUGUAGCAGUGAAAUGCGUAGAUAUCGAGAGGAACACUCGUGGCGAAGGCAGGUUCCUGGACAUUAACUGACGCUGAGGCACGAAGGCCAGGGGAGCGAAAGGGAUUAGAUACCCUUGUAGUC